UUUUAAAAUGGCUGUGUCUUGUUCUAUUGGAUUUUUUCAUUUGAUGUUUUGUGGAUUUAAUAAAAGCGAUGAAUGCCAGACAUCAUUGCACCGGAAGAUUUUAUGACUUCUUGUAUUGAAGAAAUGGAAUGCCCUGUAUGUGAAAGGAUAGUGAAGGAAGAGGUUAUACAGACCAAACAUGGCCACAGAUUCUGCAGGAGCUGCCUGAUGAGUCCCCAUGGGUCAGGAUCCUCCUGCGGAUUGUGCAUUAAUGACGGCAUUCCUAUCGAGAGUAACUGUUACCGACUAG